CCUACGGGAGGCAGCAGUGAGGAAUAUUGGUCAAUGGGCGAGCGUCUGAACCAGCCAAGUAGCGUGAAGGAUGACUGCCCUAUGGUUUGUAAACUUCUUUUAUAUGGGAAUAACAUGUUCCACGUGUGGGCUUUCGUGUGUACCAUAUGAAUAAGCAUCGGCUAACUCCGUUCCAGCAGCCGCGGUAAUACGGAGGAUCCGAGCGUUAUCCGGAUUUAGUGGGUUUAAAGGGAGCGUAGGUGGAUUGUUAAGUCAGUUGUGAAAGUUUGCGGCUCAACCGUAAAAGUGCAGUUGAAACUGGCAGUCUUGAGUACAGGAGAGGUGGGCGGAAUUAGUGGUGUAGCGGUGAAAUGCUUAGAUAUCACGAAGAACUCCGAUGGCGAAGGCAGCUGACUGGACUGCAACUGACACUGAGGCUCGAAAGUGUGGGUAUCAAACAGGAUUAGAUACCCUAGUAGUC
rnacentral:rRNA from 1 species